rnacentral:rRNA from 1 species
UGCUGCCGGAAUAUUUCGAAUGGAUCCCGCGAGCCGGGCCGUUCCGGUGCAGUGCAUCCGUGCCACCCGACGCAUUUGUUUCCCGUCCGAAGGACGCAGCAACCGGUUGGGAGACGGCCUUACGGGCGAGAGCCGGCAGGUGGCCGGUGGCGUUCCAUCCAGGUUCGCCGCCGGUUGUUAGCCUUCUCGCCGCGCGGCACGUAGCCCGACCGUGGUGUCGCGAGGCCCCUCAUGGGCCUCAUCGCCUCCUCCUUUGUGAUGCGGGUAGAAGCGUGGCAGGAGUUCGACCCCCUGCGGGCGCACGGACCGACUCCGUGGCCCAGCGUCGGGUCGUCUUCGUUGGUCGCGCAGGGCCCGUCGGAGUGUCGGCGGUUAGCUGCGAGUAGAUCGGUCACCCACCCGACCCGUCUUGAAACACGGACCAAGGAGUCUAACAUGUGUGCGAGUCAAUGGGUCUCGAUUAAGCCCAGAGGCGCAAUGAAAGCAAAGGCCGGAUUGAAAGCCGUGCUGUGUUGGGAUCCCUGACCCUCCGCGGUCGGGGCGCACCAACGACCCGUCCUGUUCCACUUGUGGAUUGGGCGGAGUCUGAGCAUACACGUUGGGACCCGAAAGAUGGUGAACUAUGCCCGGGCAGGACGAGGCCAGAGGAAA